rnacentral:tRNA from 1 species
GGUAAAGUGGCCGAAAUUUAGGCGGUAGGCUGUAAAUCUACUUAUAUUGGUUUUAUCCUUUCUUUAUCA